UGCCCCCAACAUGUGAAGCUUAUGGGAC
rnacentral:piRNA from 2 species